GCUCUCGUGGCGAAAUGGUAAACGCGCUGGAUUCAAGACCCGGUGCCCGAAGGGCGUGCAAGUUCGAGUCCUGCCGGGAGCA
rnacentral:tRNA from 1 species